GGAGGAGAGGGGCAAGAAGUCAGUGUCAAUAGCUGUAUGGAAGGACCAAAGCCUCCAUUAAAUACCCCUCUAUGACACAGUGCAAGAAGAAGGAGGAGGUGCAUUAAAUUAUAUAGAUUGGAGAGGAGAGUCACGAGGGAUUUGGUACCUAAAGACAUGCAUGUCUCGUGUACCUCCUUUGUCAAAUCUUUUAGGUAUAUGGAAAACUUCUGCUUCUUUUCCUUGCUAUAUAGGGCUUGAUAAUUUUCCAGCAAAAGGCAAAAACCUUGUUCAACAUUUUGGUUCCUUUCCUUCUUGUUUUUUCGGUAUAUAUAUAUGUUGGUUUGAGAGGUUGAAGCUGCCAGCAUGAUCUGGUAAUGAACCUGGCUAUCACUCUUUUUUCUGUGUACUCUUUUGCCUCUUUAGUCUUUGUGUAGCUAGUUAAGCUAUCUAUAUUGAUGACAGACCGAUAGUUGAUAAGUAGAUUUUAUGACCAGUUUUAGUUCAAAAUUCUGGAGUCCAGAUGAGUUAUUUCUGUGCUCAAAAUGUUAUCAGGACAAGGAUAUUGUCCAUUUGUUAAAGGGGUUUUGAGUUUGCCAAGGGAAUUUAGAUGUCUUGAUUAAGAACCCUGCUUGAACUCAUAGAUAUGGUUCACCAUCAGGUCAUCUUGCAGCUUCAAUCACUCACUCACCAACAAAAGAACUUUCUAGCUAGUCAUGGAUAUUUAAGAUUUUGCUCUCUCUCAAAAGUGAGACCUUCAUUCCAGGUAAUUCUUCUAUGCUUGGCUCAAAAAUUUUUUCAAUUCUUGAUGAAUUUUUCCCUGAUUGAUUUGGUGAAAUUGCAGUCUCUGAAUGUUUGGUAAUUUGUUAACCUAAUCUUUAUUUCUUUAUUGCUUGCACGCAUUACUCAUACUUUUUGCAAUUAUGCACAUACAUAACUUCCACAUGAAGCCACAUGCACAAAUCUGCCUGUCCCAGUCAAAUUAAUAUGAUAAACUUUCAGCUUUAUCCCGGUGCCGGUUUAGACCUCUUACAAAUAGCUCCCGGUGCCGGUUUAGACCUCUUAUAAAUAGCUGAAAUUUGUCAAGGAAGAUAAUGUUUACUCUGAAUCUCUCUUUCUCUCUCUCAGUUGCUUGUGUUGUUUGCAUGCCUGUGUGUGCAAGUUUGUCUUGACUUCCCUGGUGGUAUCCAGAAUGAACAAGUAAAACAAAAUCCCAUUACACAAGAAAGACACGAUAGCUAAUCAGACAAUGCACAGUGUUAUAAUAUUGUGACAGUGGUGUAUCAGCACAUUAACAAUUGCAACUACAUAUAUUUAUAAUUUCAGUAAUCUUAUUUCUGAUUCUUGAAUUUUAAUGCCCUUAAUGACCACACUGUUUUCAUACUGCUGGGGAAGUUGAACUUGAAUUCAAAUAGGAGACAAAAGUAUAGGCGUGAUUUGGUUGCGUCCUUGCCUCUACCAAAUACUGUUAGGGACCAGUUCGCUGUUCAUGACCCACCAAUUUGAAUACACUUUCUUUUCAGAAAAAAAAAAAAUUGAAGACAUUUUUAUUUCAAUGUAGUAGCAAUAACUAUUUCACCCAGAGAUUCAUUCUACAUAUGUAUGUACAAUAAUGCAUUGAACUUGCUGUAUAUAUAUAUAUGCCCUACCUCAGAAAUAACGGCUUAUUAAUGUUUAUUGGUGAGAUACUAGUCAUGGAAUUUAAGAUGAAACCCAAUGAACUAGUUAGCAUGUGAAAUGGCUUGAUUGUGUUUUUUACUUCCACUUUUUUUCUCUUUACUCAGGUUUAAUAGAAUGGACUCUUGUUCUAUCAUAUAAUAGUGCUUCUCUGUAAUGGUGGUACUGUAUGGAAUUGUUUGAUGAUUAGACUUAUCUCCAUAUGAAACAACCUAUAUUCAUGUCUGAACAGCUUUUGGGAACAUGAUUAGCUAAUUUAAUAUUGCUGACAUUAAUUGGGUGCCCCUCUUCUAAGUGUUUUUCAUUAUCAGUAACUUCAAAGAAACAGUUAAAUACAAUUAUUUAGUUACUAUCAGCAAAAUUUAUUUUACAUACAUAUGCACCUUCAACCAUUUCAAGUUUUUGGGUUUUUCAGGCUAUGUCAAGUUUGAUACUUUGUUUGCAUCUUGUUUCUUCUUGUCUCAUUAUUUCUGUUCGGCUUGGCGGAAAUUACAAAUAAAAGAAAAAAAAAUACCUUACACAAGCAUUAAUUGCCUUGAGUAUCAACAACUCUUUUGCAUAACUAAAAUGCUUCACAAGAAGUGGUGCUUCAUCUCUGCAUUAUUUUGUUUUGUGUAAAUGAUCAUGUCAUGAGGAAACAAAAGAAACUCCAAAAUCAUUAAUUUAAUAUUUGUGUAUAAGAUGAUUUUAUUGCUUUUUAUAGGGUGAAUAAAUUAACCUCUUCCUGUUCCUGAAAGACUUGAAAAUGAAACUAACCUCUUGCAGCUUCAGUCAGUCACUAGCCAACAAAAGAAAUAUCUUAGAGUUGCUUCUUCACUUUCCAAAUAUAUAACCAGAUCAGGUAGCAUACAGCAAUUCCCCCUGAAAUAUGGUCAUUCAUAUUGGACCUUAAAAGAUGCAAAAGGGACUCAGAAAUUUUCAGAUUUUAUGUAUCUGUUUCAAAGAAGAAUUAGCAUGGAAGAACAUCAGCACAUGAUCUUGGGACAGCAGUUGGUGGCAUUUUAAUUUGUGGAUCGGCAAAAAUUUUUAUAUGGAUAUACAUUUUUUUUUUUGAAAAGCUUUAUAGAGAUAUACAUGUCCCUGCAUUUUUGUUCUUGAUUUGUUUCAUGAAAAUUUAUUCAAAUUGAAUCACUCAAAGUUUCUCUUUUUAGUGCCAUUUCUUUUCUUGGGGGGGAGGGGCUCUCAGCUGCAUUUGUUGUUAUUUAUGUAGCCUAGGACUGUAUCCUUGUCAUUCCAUUGCAUUUGGGAGUGGGAGAAAAUAAUUUGUUGUAUAUGUUAAUAGAGUAGAAUUCUGAAUAUUCUACAUAUAUAAGUGACACUUAUUGUAACAAAGUGUAGAGAGGAUGCCUAUGCAGCAAUAUCUGACUGCAUUGAUUGCUUCACAUUAAAAAAAAAAUUGGAUAUAACUACUGAAACCUGCACUUUAAUUAGGGUUUAUCUUCUAGAUGGCUGCUACUAUACUUUUAAGUCAUCUUUAAAAAGAAAGAUGGUUCUUAGGUUAUACUUACAAGAGGAUAAGAUAACGAUUUAAUUAGUUGGGAGUGCUUUGUGGAGUAAUCAGAUUCUGCAAAUAACCCCAUCCAUUUAGUUUCUAGUGCGGACUACAACACAAACUUAAGGAACUCUAUUUUGCAUUUGUCAUCUAAUUUCUACUAUCACAGAAUGGUUUUUGAGUUUUUCCCUUUCAACUGCAUAAGUUUUCAAAUGAAGGUACAUAAUAUGUGUAAUAGGUUAUAAACCUUUAAGUUAGUGGUUUUCCCCAGUUUUUACACACUCAGACACUUGCAGAUAUAUAAAGGUUUAAUGAGAAUUGGGUUCGAAGAUAGAGAAAUAUUCUAUCAAGCAGUCUUAUGUGAUUCAACCAGAUGACAAAAAGAGUGGUUUGAUUUCCUCCAAAUUCCAUUGAAAUAUACGAUUAGUCCAUUUAGAAAAAUGGGUGAGUUUCAUCUGUAUUCAAAAGAAUGGUGGCAGGUUAUAAGAGGAAGAGCAUUCAUGACUCGUUGGCCUUUGAUAUAUAAGCUGCUGCUUAGUUUGCUUAAGCUAGGAAAGCCAGACAUCCUUCUGUUCUCAUCUUCUCUAUGAGAUAAUAUUCAGCCAUGUGCAUAUAUCAUUUCUUUCUUUUCAUCAGUUUCCUAUUGUUUCUCCAUAUUAUAUGGUUUAAUCUCUCUCUAACUUUUUGAUUUCUAUGAAAAGGGCUGGCCGGCCGGCAGCUACUAGCAAAGGGUCGAUGGAGACAGUUUUAAUUUAGAAUAAAUGAUUCCUUGUGAUCUUGACUUUAUUGGUAGGAUGAAAGGUUAGAAGAGCCUCCACCCAUUGAGGAAAAGACUUUUGAAAAGCCAUUUUUAUUUAAUUUGUUUAACAAUGCUUAUAACAAUAUCAAUACUGUUAGCCAACCCACUCUUGGUUUAGCUUCUUCUUCAUGUUUUCUUCGAUAUAUAAAUCCUUGUCUAUCAACUAGCUAAUUUGACAGCACCAACCAAACAUCCAGAAUAUGUAUAUAUAUAAUUUCAAUCUGAUAGCAACUUUGAGGGCCGCCCGGCUGUGUAUAAUCAAUGGGAAAUUCCUAGAAUUAGUCAUUCAAUAUC